CCUGUUCGAGCGUCAUUUAAACCCUCAAGCCCUGCUUGGUAUUGGGUGCGGCCCCCGGGCCUCCCGCAACUCGUUGGGCGGGACCGUCUGGCUCUAAGCGUAGCAGAAUCUUCCCUCGCUUCGGAGCUCCAGGCGGCCCUCGCCCGGAAACCACUCUAGAGUUUGACCUCGGAUCAGGUAGGGAUACCCGCUGAACUUAA
rnacentral:misc_RNA from 1 species